AGAGUUUGAUCAUGGCUCAGGACGAACGCUGGCGGCGUGCUUAACACAUGCAAGUCAAGGAGAACGGAUCCUUCGGGAUACUAUUAAACUGGCGAACGGGUGAGUAACGCGUAGGCAACCUGCCUUGGAGAUUGGGAUAACCCCGGGAAACCGGAGCUAAUACCAAAUAAUGCAGCGGAUCCUUCGGGAUAUGUUGUUAAAGUGGGCUUCGGCUCACACUUCAAGAUGGGCCUGCGUCCGAUUAGCUUGUUGGUGAGGUAAUGGCUCACCAAGGCGAUGAUCGGUAGCUGGUCUGAGAGGAUGAUCAGCCACACUGGGAUUGAGAUACGGCCCAGACUCCUACGGGAGGCAGCAGUGGGGAAUUUUGCGCAAUGGACGAAAGUCUGACGCAGCAACGCCGCGUGAUCGAUGAAGCUUCUAGGAGUGUAAAGAUCUGUCGUGAGGGAAGAAAAAUCUGGAUGUAAAUAAUGUUCAGACGUGACGGUACCUCACAAGAAAGCACCGGCUAACUUCGUGCCAGCAGCCGCGGUAAUACGAGGGGUGCUAGCGUUGUCCGGAAUUACUGGGCGUAAAGGGUUCGUAGGCGUCUUGCCAAGUUGAUCGUUAAAGCCACCGGCUUAACCGGUGAUCUGCGAUCAAAACUGGCGAGAUAGAAUAUGUGAGGGGAAUGUGGAAUUCCUGGUGUAGCGGUGACAUGCGUAGAUAUC
rnacentral:rRNA from 1 species